rnacentral:rRNA from 1 species
UACGGGGGGAGCAAGCGUUGUUCGGAUUUACUGGGCGUAAAGGGCGCGUAGGCGGCCACCGCAAGUCAGUUGUGAAAUCUCCGAGCUUAACUCGGAAAGGUCAACUGAUACUGUGCGACUAGAGUGCGGAAGGGGCAAGUGGAAUUCCUGGUGUAGCGGUGGAAUGCGCAGAUAUCAGGAGGAACAGCCCAUAGCGAAGGCAGCUUGCUGGGACGUUACUGACGCUAAGGCGCGAAAGCGUGGGGAGCGGACAGG